UGGUCAAGUUAUUAAGGGUGCAGGGCGGAUGCCUUGGCACUAGGAGCCGAUGAAGGACGUGAUAAGCUGCGAUAAGCUUCGGGGAGUUGCACGUAAACUUUGAUCCGAAGAUUUCCGAAUGAGGAAACUCACUUAGAGUAAUGUCUAAGUAUCAUUAAGUGAAUACAUAGCUUAAUGAGGGGAACUCAGGGAACUGAAACAUCUAAGUACCUGAAGGAAGAGAAAGAAAUUCGAUUCCGUAAGUAGCGGCGAGCGAACGCGGAUUAGCCCAAACCAAUAAAGUUUUCUUUAUUGGGGUUGCGGACAUAUCAUAACGAAGAGGGAUCGUAAUUGAAGAGGUUUGGAAAGACCCACCACAGAAGGUAAUAGUCCUGUAUGUUAAACGAGAAGACUUCAGAUGUGAUCCAGAGUACCAUGGGACACGUGAAACCCUGUGGGAAGCAGGAGGGACCACCCUCCAAGGCUAAAUACUACCUAGUGACCGAUAGCGUAUAGUACCGUGAGGGAAAGGUGAAAAGAACCCCGGGAGGGGAGUGAAAUAGAACCUGAACCCCUGCACUUACAAGCUGUGGAAGCACAUUUCUUGUGUGACCGCGUACUUUUUGUAGAACGGGCCAACGAGUUACGUUAAGUAGCAAGGUUAAGCACUUAAGGUGCGGAGCCGUAGCGAAAGCGAGUUUUAACUGAGCGUUCAGUUACUUGACGUAGACCCGAAACCGGGCGACCUACCCAUGAGCAGGAUGAAGCGAAAGUAAAAUUUCGUGGAGGUCCGAACCCACGAGCGUUGAAAAGCUCGGGGAUGACUUGUGGGUAGCGGUGAAAUUCCAAUCGAGCCCGGAGAUAGCUGGUUCUCCCCGAAAUAGCUUUAGGGCUAGCCUCAAGGUGAGAGAUACGGAGGUAGAGCACUGAAUGUCCUAGGGGGUAUUGCACCUACCGAAGACUAUCAAACUCCGAAUGCCGUCAUCUUAUACUUGGGAGUCAGACUGUGGGUGAUAAGAUUCAUAGUCGA
rnacentral:rRNA from 1 species